CCGUGGAGCUUCGGCUCCAUUGAGAUAGCACCCUUUGUUUAUGAGUACCCUUGUUUCCUCGGUGGGCUUGCCCACCAUGAGGACAAUAAAAAAACCCUUUGUAGUAGUAGUAACUUCAGUUAAUAAUAAAUAUUA
rnacentral:misc_RNA from 1 species